GACGAACGCUGGCGGCGUGCCUAAUACAUGCAAGUAGAACGCUGAAGAGAGGAGCUUGCUCUUCUUGGAUGAGUUGCGAACGGGUGAGUAACGCGUAGGUAACCUGCCUGGUAGCGGGGGAUAACUAUUGGAAACGAUAGCUAAUACCGCAUAAAAUGGAUUAUCGCAUGAUAAUCCAUUGAAAGGUGCAAAUGCAUCACUACCAGAUGGACCUGCGUUGUAUUAGCUAGUUGGUGGGGUAACGGCUCACCAAGGCGACGAUACAUAGCCGACCUGAGAGGGUGAUCGGCCACACUGGGACUGAGACACGGCCCAGACUCCUACGGGAGGCAGCAGUAGGGAAUCUUCGGCAAUGGACGGAAGUCUGACCGAGCAACGCCGCGUGAGUGAAGAAGGUUUUCGGAUCGUAAAGCUCGGUUGUAAGAGAAGAACGAGUGUGAGAGUGGAAAGUUCACACUGUGACGGUAUCUUACCAGAAAGGGACGGCUAACUACGUG
rnacentral:rRNA from 1 species